rnacentral:rRNA from 1 species
AGUGAACGCUGGCGGUAGGCCUAACACAUGCAAGUCGAACGGCAGCACAGUAAGAGCUUGCUCUUACGGGUGGCGAGUGGCGGACGGGUGAGGAAUACAUCGGAAUCUACUUUUUCGUGGGGGAUAACGUAGGGAAACUUACGCUAAUACCGCAUACGACCUACGGGUGAAAGCAGGGGAUCUUCGGACCUUGCGCGAUUGAAUGAGCCGAUGUCGGAUUAGCUAGUUGGCGGGGUAAAGGCCCACCAAGGCGACGAUCCGUAGCUGGUCUGAGAGGAUGAUCAGCCACACUGGAACUGAGACACGGUCCAGACUCCUACGGAAGGCAGCAGUGGGGAAUAUUGGACGAUGGGCGCAAGCCUGAUCCAGCCAUACCGCGUGGGUGAAGAAGGCCUUCGGGUUGUAAAGCCCUUUUGUUGGGAAAGAAAAGCAGCAGGUUAAUACCCCGCUGUUCUGACGGUACCCAAAGAAUAAGCACCGGCUAACUUCGUG